GAUCCCCUACGGGGGGCAGCAGUGGGGAAUAUUGCACAAUGGGGGGAACCCUGAUGCAGCGACGCCGCGUGAGUGAAGAAGUAUUUCGGUAUGUAAAGCUCUGUCAGCAGGGAAGAAGAAAGACGGUACCUGACUAAGAAGCCCCGGCUAACUACGUGCCAGCAGCCGCGGUAAUACGUAGGGGGCAAGCGUUAUCCGGAUUUACUGGGUGUAAAGGGAGCGUAGACGGCAGCGCAAGUCUGGAGUGAAAUGCCGGGGCUCAACCCCGGAACUGCUUUGG
rnacentral:rRNA from 1 species